AAUUUGAUAUAUACUAUUUAUCCUAUAAUUUGUAGAUCAUUACAUGCAAUGAUGAAGGUGGGAAUGAUCCUUGAAGGAGUACUUCUCAAUUAAUGAUUUCGCUUGGAUGUACAACUCGCAACAAGUUUGGUGGUCGACCUGGCCUGCUAGGAAAGAUCAUACAUAGCGUGUCGACUACAUGAAAAAAAGUCAUGUCACAUGCUACACAGAUGGAUAGAUAGAUAUUUGAAGAAAAGAAAAGUCCAGUAAAUAAUACGGCUCAUGAGUUGUACAUGUUACUCGUUGUCAGACUUGCUCCAUGAUUGCCAAGUUCUUCGGUGGUGUUGGGCACAAUAUAUAUAGCCUGAAUAUUUCACAAUAUCUAUUCAUAUUUGAGCUAUCAUGCCCUCUCUUUCUUUUUCUGCGAUGCAGCCAUGGGCUCAUUUAGGCUGAAAUCAGGAUGUGAUUUCUGUCUUGCAAAUAUCUGUUUGAUUGAGCUAGGUAUAGUGUCUACACCAAAUGUUUUGUCGUGUGAUGAGGCAGACAUGAGUUGAGAUAUUAGAGAAAACUGAAUAUCUCAUGUAUUCCACGUUAACUCCACAUUCAAGGUACAGGACGGCCGUCCCUUCGGAUCGUAUAUCGAUGCAUGCUUCUUGAACAUGGUCUCGAAGGCUUCACAUGGCAUGUUCAGCGGUACCUUCCUCCGGCAUUGUCCGCACCAUAGGCCGCACGCGGAUCCAUGCGGCAUCUGCUUCUCGCCUCUGCUCCGCUCACGCGACGUGCCCCCCACGACUACUGCCACCACCAGCUCCGGAAGAAUGGUCUCAGCUAACCUGGGAGUGGAGGCGCGGCCUGAAUCCGCCUCCACCUCCACCUUUGACGAGCCGCCAAACUGUUUGCUGUCAGCCGGGUUCGCGGCCCGAGUGCCUAGGUGCUUUGCGGUCAACGGUGGCCAGCGUGGCAGCGUUGCGGACGCGUCUCUCGGCUUUCGGAUCCGCCUCGUCCUAGAGUUCGCCCCCUCCAGUCCUCAUGGCUUAUAUCAUGUCAAUCUAGUAUGUAGUUUUAGCGAUCAAAUUGAGCGGCACAAUACAAUUCUUUGCUUGUGAUCUAUUGAGUCCGAAAAUUGAGCAUUCAAAGGGCUUAAAGGUGGUCUUUGUUUGGGCUACGGCUACAGAUUCAUGGAUUCUAGGUUCUAGAAAAUCAGAAUUUUAAACAAGCAUGCAGAUUUCCAACGUGGUAGCUUCCUAGAAUCGAUUCCCAAAAAUGAACUACUCAAUCCCGCAGUUGUCAAUUCGGUGAUUCCCGAGCUGCCACUUAUCCCCACUCGAGUAUAUAUACUUUUUUCUUCUUUCCGUUUUAUGGACGUGGCUACCUAGCACAACAUCUAUAGACAACCAACCAUGUGUAUUUAUUAGCGUUUUAAAAAAUUCAAAGAGUCAUAACUUUUGAACCGAUCACUAGAAUGUCGAUCCAUUUUCACGGUUGUGUUUCUUAUGAUGAGCUCUACAAAACUAGAUCCCAUAUGAAUAGGUUUCGACGAACUUUUUUUUAACAACAUUAUGUGCUAGAUGAGGCAACUUUAGUGCUAUAGGCAAGCAACUUCUUUCCCCCUUAGUUUGACAAUCUAUCAGCGAAGAAUUAUUCUAAGUUGGUUACCACGACUAAUAGUUGACUAGAUUCAUUUCUAAAAGCUUUGCAUAAUUAAACAAUGAUGAUCAGUUGCCUAUGACCGAUGCUCAGUUGUCUACAAAUACUGUGAAAUUGCUCAAUUUUUAUGAUCAGUUGCCUAC
rnacentral:lncRNA from 1 species